GUAAGUAAAAGUCGUAACAAGGUUUCCGUAGGUGAACCUGCGGAAGGAUCAUUAUUGGAUUUUGAAACUUCAGGCUGCUGCUGGCUCUCCUCGGAGGGCAUGUGCACGCUUGUUGUCCAUUAUUUCUCCCACUGUGCACAAAUUGUUGACCUUUCAGUAGGCCUAUGUUGUUUUUCACAAUCUCUGAAUGUAAUAGAAUGGUUUUGAAUCUUGGGAAAUACAAUACAACUUUCAGCAACGGAUCUCUUGGCUCUC
rnacentral:misc_RNA from 1 species